rnacentral:snoRNA from 1 species
AAGACUAUACUUUCAGGGAUCAUUUCUAUAGUUCAUUAUUCCAGCUCAUGCUGACAGCAUCCUUCCGGAAACUCCCUCAGUAGCAGAGU